ACGGAAGGCAGCAGUGAGGAAUAUUGGUCAAUGGGCGGAAGCCUGAACCAGCCAAGUCGCGUGAAGGAUGAAGGUAUUAUGUAUUGUAAACUUCUUUAGACGCAGAGAAAUAAGGAGGUCGAGACCUCUGAUGCUAGUAUGCGUAGAAUAAGGAUCGGCUAACUCCGUGCCAGCAGCCGCGGUAAUACGGAGGAUCCGAGCGUUAUCCGGAUUUAUUGGGUUUAAAGGGUGCGCAGGCGGCUUUUUAAGUCAGUGGUUAAAUCGGGAGGCUCAACCUCAUCACGCCAUUGAUACUGGAGAGCUUGAUUGCGGUUGAGGUUGGCGGAAUUCGCCGUGUAGCGGUGAAAUGCAUAGAUAUGGCGAAGAACUCCGAUUGCGUAGGCAGCUGACCAAGCCGUAAAUGACGCUCAUGCACGAAAGUGCGGGGAUCGAACAGGAUUAGAUACCCUGGUA
rnacentral:rRNA from 1 species